rnacentral:rRNA from 1 species
UGGGGAAUAUUGGACAAUGGGCGCAAGCCUGAUCCAGCCAUGCCGCGUGAGUGACGAAGGCCUUAGGGUUGUAAAGCUCUUUUGGCGGGGAAGAUAAUGACGGUACCCGCAGAAUAAGCUCCGGCUAACUUCGUGCCAGCAGCCGCGGUAAUACGAAGGGAGCUAGCGUUGUUCGGAAUCACUGGGCGUAAAGCGCACGUAGGCGGACUUUCAAGUCAGGGGUGAAAUCCCGGGGCUCAACCUCGGAACUGCCUUUGAUACUGUUGGUCUCGAGUCCGGAAGAGGUGAGUGGAAUUCCUAGUGUAGAGGUGAAAUUCGUAGAUAUUAGGAAGAACACCGGUGGCGAAGGCGGCUCACUGGUCCGGUACUGACGCUGAGGUGCGAAAGCGUGGGUAGCAAACA